GAGUCGGACAUGACUGAAGCGACUUAGCAGCAGCAGCAGCAGAGGGGACAAGACACAACUGCAGGAAACCCACCUGAGGAAUCUCCAGGAGCCCCAGGGAUGAUGAACCUCGCAGGGAUAAAGACCAAAACAGGCACAGGCCUGUAUAAAGUGAAUACCAUAAAGUAUUAAUUCCUAAACACAAGUGAAGCUCACAGACACAGACAUAAUGGCCUGCCUGAGUGAGAUAAGCUGAGCUGCCCACCUGUGAAGGACUGUAAGGAAAGGAAAUUGACACAUUCCCCUGCCUGAGGCCUGCCAUUCUAGGAGACAUUUGCAAGGAUUGAAUAGUCUUUUUUCUUUGUUUUCUCAUCUCCCCUCAUCUCUGAUCCUUAAAAGAACCUGGCAACCAGGCCCUGGGUAACCGCAGCAGCCCAGAGGAAAUCCUGCCACCUUGUGACCAUUCUCCGCCAUAGCAACCUGGAAAUGAUUAUAGCCGCUUAAUAAUCACAACUGUGGAGUGUAAAGAUAGCUACCCUCAAAAACCCUCAGGAGUAACCAAUCAAACAAAAAUGAAAAAAAGCGCAAGCAGAAGUGAAGAAGGAAUUCAUAGGGCCUGGACUCCAUCUUAGUCCUGUUCAUGCUGAUCAUGCUCGGCCACCUUUCCAAUGGACUCUGAACUCUGGUGCCUAUGAAAACAACAACAGAAGGAGAAGACCCCCUCCAGACAGGGGAACCUUGAAGAUCCUAUCUAGGUUACUCAUCGCCUAAGAGAAAACAUACACUAAUCACCCCUUCCUCCAGACAGGCCAUAAAUUCUUCUGUAUCAAUCGGAGUGUAACCUCGGGUUUAUUGAUUAUUGGCUAACUGACUGUUUGAGCACAUAGCACGUGAAUGAUGGGGUUACUGGGAUUGUAUUUUCCUUGGUUUAUGUAAGUCUCAAGGAAUUUGGAGUGGUGGGUUCAGACACGUACACACGGGGUGUAAAAGAUUUUCACAAAUGCUGGUCGGGGUCCUUGGCUAAGAGGAGACUCUGCCUUGGGCCCGUCGGUGUGAUAAACUGCACUCCACUAUCUGCAUUGUCCUUCUGAGUGAGUUUGUUUCCCGGAACAUGUGGCUACAACAGAAGCAAAUAUCAAUAGGAAAAUGCAAUUCACAAAGUUUACAGAGAAAAGCAUAUGAAAAUGUGAACAAUGUGACGAAUUAUUAGAGAUAAAGAAAUCAAAACGACAAUGAGGUUUCACCUCAGGAAUGUGGUUAACAAGGCCAUCACAAAAAAAAAGUGCAGGAGAAACGCUAGAGUGGGGUUAAGGAAAGGGGACCAUUUCACGGUGCUGGUGCUCUGUAAUUGGUAACAGCCAUUCUGAGGACCACUGUGCGAGCACGCAGGCGCACGCAUGCGUGGUAAACACGGAAGUGCCGUAUGACCUGGCAGUCCCACUCUUAAGGGUGUAGGUGGACAGAAUUGGAUUCGGAAAAACCCAUACACACAAGCGGACCGGCUCAAAAUCGGGAAAGGAGUACAACAAAGCUGUAUAUUGUCACGCUGCUUAUUUUACUUCUAUGCAGAGUACAUCAUGCGAAAUGCAGGGUUGGUUGGAUGAAUCACACAUGGAAUCAAGAUUGCUGGGAGAAAUACGAAUAACCUCAGAUGUGAUCUAUGAUAUAUUGUGCAGUUAUUUAAAAGGGUGAAUUAGAUUUACAUUUGUUGGCCAGGAAAAUAGUCAUCAUGUAUUGUUAAAAUUAGAAAGUCUGCAGAGUGGUGAGAGAGAUUUACUCUCAGAUAACUCCCUGAUAACUGCGGUUUCAUAUUCUCUGUGAAUUUGACUACUCGGAGUAUCUCUUUUAAGUGGAAUCACACUGUAUCUGUCCUAUCAUGUUUCACUUAUUUGACUCAACAUAAUGUCUGCAAGGGUUUCCCCAGUGGCUCAGCAGUAGAGAACCUGCCUGCCAAUGCAGGAGCUCCAGGAGAUGCAGGUUCGAUCCCUGGGUCAGGAAGAUCCCCUGUAGGAGGAAAUGGCAACCCACUCCAGUAUUCUUGCCUGGAGAAUCCCAUGGACCGAGGAGCCUGGCCGGCUACAGUCCACAGGACGCAAACAGUUGGACAUGACUGAAGCAGCUUAGCACACACAUACACAC
ensembl:lncRNA